rnacentral:tRNA from 1 species
GGUGGCUCAGUGGUAGAGUGCUUGCUUUGCAUGCAUGAGGCCCUGGGUUCAAUUUCCAGCACCA